rnacentral:rRNA from 1 species
GAAUUUUAUUUUAAAUUUACUAUAUAAAUUAAUUAAUUUAUAUUAUGAAAAUCAUUUUGUGUGUUGUUGUAUUUGUUAAUAAUUAAAUUAUUUUGGUAAUAAUUUAUUUGUACUGUGAAGGUUAAUUUUGAAAUAUUAAUUAAUAAUUAAUAUAAAAGUUUAUUUAAUUUAUUGUACCUUGUGUUUCAGGGUUAAUUAAUUAUAUUUUAUAAAUUUUAGUUUUCUCGAUAUUAUUGGAGUUAAUUUAUUAUUUUGAUUUACUGUUUUAUAAGUAUUAUUAAUAAUAAGUUGGUAGUGAAAUGUUAUUCGUUUAUAAUGAUAUCUAGUUUUGAGGGAAAUAAAUUUAAUUUACAUUUUUUCUUUAAUUUUUUUUGUGUUAACUUUAUUUUGAGAUGAAAUGAUUAUUGAGGGGGAUAAACUUUUCAAUAAAUUUUUAUAAUGAAAAUAAAUAUAUUUAUAUAAUUGUGUGGAUUUUAUAAUAAUUUUUAUUAGAAGUAUAUUAUAAUUUUAAUAUUUUUUUAGUUAAAUUUAUAUAAAUUUAAAAAUUUACUGAAACUUUUUAAUUAAUUUUAAAUUAAUUUUGAUUAUGAUUAAAUUAGUAUAAAUUAUAUUUGUUUAAAUAUUUUUUUAAUAAAUGAAGGUUAGGAAUUAGGCAAAAUAUAAAUUGUUCGCCUGUUUAACAAAAACAUCUCUUCUUGUUUUGAAUAUGAAGUAUAACCUGCUCAAUGAAUAUUUUAAAUAGCCGCGGUAUUAUGACCGUGCAAAGGUAGCAUAAUCAUUAGUCUUUUAAUUGUGGGCUGGCAUGAAUGGUUGGACGAAAUAAUAUCUAUCUUAAUUUUAUUAAUUUGAAUUUAAUAAUUGUGUUAAAAAGCUCAAAUUAUUUUUUGGGACGAGAAGACCCUAUAGAGUUUAAUAAUUUUUAUAAUUUAUUUUAUUUGUUGAAUUUAUAAAUAAUUUAAUUUAUUUUGUUGGGGUGAUUGAAAGAUAAAUAUAACUCUUUUUUUUCAUUAUUAAUUAUAAUUAUUUUUUUGAUCCAUUAUUGGUGAUUAAAAGACUAAAUUACCUUAGGGAUAACAGCGUAAUCUUUUUAGAGAGUUCUUAUUGACAAUAAGGGUUGCGACCUCGAUGUUGGAUUAAGAUUAUUUUUGGGUGUAGAAGCUUAAAGGUUGGGUCUGUUCGACCCUUAAAUUCUUACAUGAUCUGAGUUCAGACCGGCGUGAGCCAGGUUGGUUUCUAUCUAAUAAUAAAUUUAUUACUUCAGUACGAAAGGACCAAGUAUUAAAAAUAAUUUUUAAUAAUAUGAUUAAUAUUAA